rnacentral:lncRNA from 1 species
UUGUUACUGCACAGCAUAAUGUCCGGCUUGUUAAAUCCUCCCACGUGGUCGUACCUGUCGUAUAUGAAGUGCAGAGUGCAGAAGCCUUUUGCCAAAUCUGGAUUAUGGACUGUCCUAGGUAUCUUUAAUGAAUCUAAAAACCGAUGCACUGUGAUGGCUCUUGGAGUAACUAGAUAUUUUCCUCUUAACGGAACCUCAUCAUUUUUGAUGUACCCGGCUAUUUCCUCCAGAGUCGGUGUGAGCUCAAAAUCUGGGAAGUGGAAGACAUUGUGCGUCGGUCUCAAUAGGUGACCAAUGCUCUUAUAAUAUCACCCCGAGACUUGAUUUCCAAUAAAUGCGUAAGAACUUUCAGAUAUUUCUUAACUUCGUCUUUCCCUUCUUUGCCUAAAUCAUUCCACCAUAGCCGUAACUCGAAUAGGAUGUUAGUCAUUAUUCAGACAGGUUCAUUUUGCAUUGUGCUCAUCCUGCACAUUUAUCAUUCCACCAUAGCCGUAACUCCCAAGGACGAAGAUUUUAAGGUCGUGAGAGUCCACCGGUCAAAAAUCAAAACUGACCAAAAAUGGCCUUUUUGCAAAGUCAGUCUUCCAGAGUCCCUUUCGGGAACAUUCGGCUAUUUAUGACAAUACGACGCUACCCUAACUUAUUUAUGACUCUGUUCUUGUUUUCCGAAUUGAAAUAAGAGAUCCGAUAUUGCAAACAUGGCCUUUCAGUGACUCGGGGAUGAAGAUUUAAGGCUGUGAGGGUCAAAACUAAAACAUGACAAAAGUGGUCGUUUAUCCAAAGUCAGCCUUCCGGCGUCCCUUUCAGGAAUGUUUGGCUAUUUUAACAAAACGGAAACAUCUAACUUAUUUAUGAUAAAAAUUAACAUUUUGACAUUUUUUGCUAUUUUAGAAAAGGGGAGGUUGGACCCGAUGAGGGUUGCCUACGUAUCUCACACCCUGUGAG